rnacentral:rRNA from 1 species
AUUUUGGACAGGGGGGGGGAAGCCUGAUCCAGGGGGGGCCGCGGCAGGAGAAAGGCCUUUGGGGGGGAAAACCGCCUUUCCCAGGAAAAAACCGCCCUUUUUUUAUAAAAAAGGGCUAAUGACGGUCCCGUAAGAAUAAGCCCGGGCUAACUACGUGCCAGCAGCCGCGGCAAUACGUAGGGGGCAAGCGUUAAUCGGAAUUGCUGGGCGUAAAGCGUGCGCAGGCGGGUUAUGUAAGACAGUUGUGAAAUUCUCCGGGGUCAACCUCGGAAUUGGAUUGGGAAUGCAUAGCUAGAGUACGGUAGAGGGGGAUGGAAUUCCGCGUGUAGCAGUGAAAUGCGUAGAUAUGCGGAGGAACACCGAUGGCGAAGGCAAUCCCCGGACCUUACUACGUCAGCACGAAA